GAUGAACGCUGGCGGCGUGCCUAAUACAUGCAAGUCGAGCGAACAGACGAGGAGCUUGCUCCUCUGACGUUAGCGGCGGACGGGUGAGUAACACGUGGAUAACCUACCUAUAAGACUGGGAUAACUUCGGGAAACCGGAGCUAAUACCGGAUAAUAUAUUGAACCGCAUGGUUCAAUAGUGAAAGACGGUUUUGCUGUCACUUAUAGAUGGAUCCGCGCCGCAUUAGCUAGUUGGUAAGGUAACGGCUUACCAAGGCAACGAUGCGUAGCCGACCUGAGAGGGUGAUCGGCCACACUGGAACUGAGACACGGUCCAGACUCCUACGGGAGGCAGCAGUAGGGAAUCUUCCGCAAUGGUCGAAAGCCUGACGGAGCAACGCCGCGUGAGUGAUGAAGGUCUUCGGAUCGUAAAACUCUGUUAUUAGGGAAGAACAAAUGUGUAAGUAACUAUGCACGUCUUGACGGUACCUAAUCAGAAAGCCACGGCUAACUACGUG
rnacentral:rRNA from 1 species